GACGAACGCUGGCGGCGUGCUUAACACAUGCAAGUCGAACGGAAAGGCCCUGCUUUUGUGGGGUGCUCGAGUGGCGAACGGGUGAGUAACACGUGAGUAACCUGCCCUUGACUUUGGGAUAACUUCAGGAAACUGGGGCUAAUACCGGAUAGGAGCUCCUGCUGCAUGGUGGGGGUUGGAAAGUUUCGGCGGUUGGGGAUGGACUCGCGGCUUAUCAGCUUGUUGGUGGGGUAGUGGCUUACCAAGGCUUUGACGGGUAGCCGGCCUGAGAGGGUGACCGGCCACAUGGGGACGGGGAUACGGCCCGGACCCCUACGGGAGGGAGCAGGGGGGAAUAUUGCACAAGGGGGGGAAGCCUGAUGAGGAAACGCCGGUUGGGGGAAGACGGCCUUCGGGUUGUAAACCGUUUUCGCCUGUGACGAAGCGGGAGUGGGGGAAAGGGGGAAAGAAGCACCGGCUAACUACGG
rnacentral:rRNA from 1 species